rnacentral:rRNA from 1 species
UUGUCCGGAAUUAUUGGGCGUAAAGAGCUCGUAGGCGGUGUGUCGCGUCGGCCGUGAAAACCUGCAGCUUAACUGUGGGCUUGCGGUCGAUACGGGCAUCACUGGAGUUCGGCAGGGGAGACUGGAAUUCCUGGUGUAGCGGUGAAAUGCGCAGAUAUCAGGAGGAACACCGGUGGCGAAGGCGGGUCUCUGGGCCGAUACUGACGCUGAGGAGCGAAAGCGUGGGGAGCGAACAGG